AAUUAAGGGUAAUUGGGCAUAACGCCUUGCAAAGCCAACCUUAACAUAAGGUUGCUUAAUAACUAAGUCAAGGUCAAAACAAAGGCACUCUUUCAGCAUAAAAAGAUUGAAAAGUUACGUUGGCAGGAGGGCUAUCCCUCAUGGGUAGACCUGAUGAAAGCCUUCAGCUAGUUAACUUAGUGUCUGAUUUGUUCACAUUUUGGUUUGUUUUAUGAUAUUUCUCCAUGAACAAGAAAAGGACAACUAGAAAAGGGAGGUGGAGGUGGAAGCAAGCUGCCACCGGAGUCAUUAACUGGUUGGAUGUUCUCUCUGCAAUCCUCUGCUUCAGGACUCAAAACUUCCUCCUCAUUCCCAUCCUGUCACUUGCAGCAGAAACUAUUGCCUUGGGACUUGCCAGAGACCUGAAGAUUCCUGAACUCAAGGUGGGGCAUUGCCUUUGAGGAACUGAAGCCACGUAACUGAAUAGGCUAGUCUUGGUUUUCAGAAUGUGAGCCAUAGAACCAGGAUAAUGCAUUAGUCAUGGUCCAUUGAGCUAAUACAAAAGUACUCAAGUAUAUUCCAAAAUAUAUUUUUCUAUAUCUGAAGAUAAUUUGAGUCUGUAGACACCCAUUAAACCUAUAAAGUAUGCACCCACUGCCAAUGCGAUUGACCUAUCGGAAAGAUGUGUACUUGGGAGCGUAGGCAUGCAUCUUUGCAAGUGUGGAGGUGUGUUGGUUAUCAUGAGUGAGAACUGGUGAGUGGGAUUCAGAGCCUGAGUCCUACCUGAGUAACUGGGAGACUGUGGUACUGUGCCUCCAAGGUGGCAUCCAUCAAUGCUUCCUUCCCUGUGUGCACAUCCAGAGAUGAGAUUGACGCCUCCUCUCCCCUUAGACAUGGCUGGACUUACCAACAUGCUUGGUAAGUCCAGAAUGCAGCUGUGUGACUUUGGGGAUUUGGAGGCUCGGUCACAGAAGUCGCAGCUUCCCCACGUGCCUCUUCGUCUGCUUGCUUUUGAACAUUUCCUCAUGGGCACCAGCCUUGAGGGCCAUGCUGUGAGAAGCUGAAGCCGCUGGAGAGGUCCCUGUAGAAGUGCAGAGACAGAGAGGAGCAGAGGACCCAGGAGGCACCGGAAGCAGGUGUGAGGAACCAUCUUGUAAGUGGAUCCUGCCCCACAUGACACUGUGAGAUUCAGAGAUGAAUGGCCCAGCCAAUUUCUUCCCAAAUUCCUAAACCAUACAAUUGUGAGCUAAAUAAAACUGUUGUUUUAAGUCACUAUGUUUUAGGAUAAUUUCUUCUGCAGCAAGGGAUAACCGGAAAGAGACCCACAAAGCUCAAAGCCCAUUGUGCUAGGCUCCUGACCCAUCUGAACACUGAGCGGGCACUGAGCGGGCUCUGAGCGGGCUCUGAGCAGACUCACUUGGCCUGAGGCUCCUCU
rnacentral:lncRNA from 10 species